GAUGAAGAACGUAGCGAAAUGCGAUAAGUAGUGUGAAUUGCAGAAUUCAGUGAAUCAUCGAAUCUUUGAACGCACAUUGCGCCCCUUGGUAUUCCGAGGGGCAUGCCUGUUCGAGCGUCAUUAUAACCCUUCAAGCUCAGCUUGGUGUUGGGGCCUGCUGUAACUGGUAGCCCUUAAAAUCAGUGGCAGUGCUAUUAGGCUCUAAGCGUAGUAAUUCUUCUCGCUAUAGUGUGUAGUGAGCGCUUGCCAGAACCCCAUACUUUUAUAUGAUUGACCUCGGAUCAGGUAGGGAUACCCGCUGAACUUAAGCAUAUCAAUAAGCGGAGGA
rnacentral:misc_RNA from 1 species